rnacentral:rRNA from 1 species
UACGUAGGGGGCAAGCGUUGUCCGGAUUUAUUGGGCGUAAAGAGCGUGUAGGCGGCCAGAUAGGUCUGCUGUGAAAACUCGAGGCUCAACCUCGAGAUGUCGGCGGAAACCAUUUGGCUAGAGUCCGGAAGAGGAAAGUGGAAUUCCUGGUGUAGCGGUGAAAUGCGCAGAUAUCGGGAAGAACACCCGUGGCGAAGGCGGCUCUCUGGAACGCAACUGACGCUGA